UGUUUCGGCUAGGGGGCCAUCCCGGCUUACCAACCCGAUGCAAACUGCGAAUACCGGAGAAUGUUAUCACGGGAGACACACGGCGGGUGCUAACGUCCGUCGUGAAGAGGGAAACAACCCAGACCGCCAGCUAAGGUCCCAAAGUCAUGGUUAAGUGGGAAACGAUGUGGGAAGGCCCAGACAGCCAGGAUGUUGGCUUAGAAGCAGCCAUCAUUUAAAGAAAGCGUAAUAGCUCACUGGUCGAGUCGGCCUGCGCGGAAGAUGUAACGGGGCUAAACCAUGCACCGAAGCUGCGGCAGCGACGCUGAUGCGUUGUUGGGUAGGGGAGCGUUCUGUAAGCCUGCGAAGGUGGCCUGUGAGGGUUGCUGGAGGUAUCAGAAGUGCGAAUGCUGACAUAAGUAACGAUAAAGCGGGUGAAAAGCCCGCUCGCCGGAAGACCAAGGGUUCCUGUCCAACGUUAAUCGGGGCAGGGUGAGUCGACCCCUAAGGCGAGGCCGAAAGGCGUAGUCGAUGGGAAACGGGUUAAUAUUCCCGUACUUGG
rnacentral:rRNA from 1 species